AGAGAGAGAGAGAGAGAGAGAGAGAGAGAGAGAGAGAGAGAGAGAGAAAAAAAUGCGAGAUGAUAUAUACAUACAUUGUAAUAAUAUGUACUUUCUUUCCAAAUGCAACAGAAAGGGAGAGAGAGAGAGAGAGAGAGAGAGGGAGAGAGAGAGGGAGAGAGAGAGAGAGAGA